UACGUAGGCAGCAAGCGUUGUUCGGAGUUACUGGGCGUAAAGGGUGUGUAGGCGGUCUCGUAAGUCUGGUGUGAAAUCUCCCGGCUCAACUGGGAGGGUGCGCCGGAAACUGCGAGGCUAGAGUGUGGGAUGGGAGAGUGGAAUUCCUGGUGUAGCGGUGAAAUGCGUAGAUAUCAGGAGGAACACCUGCGGUGUAGACGGCUCUCUGGACCACUACUGACGCUGAAACACGAAAGCGUGGGUAGCAAAC
rnacentral:rRNA from 1 species